rnacentral:rRNA from 1 species
GACGAACGCUGGCGGCGUGCCUAAUACAUGCAAGUCGAACGCAGUGGGGACGGGUGAGUAACACGUGGGUAACCUCCCAUCAGAGGGGAUAACACUUGGAAACAGGUGCUAAAACGAUACUGACGAAUGGACCGGCGGUGCAUUAGCUAGUUGGUGAGGUAACGGCUCACCAAGGCAACGAUGCAUAGCCGACCUGAGAGGGUGAUCGGCCACACUGGGACUGAGACACGGCCCAGACUCCUACGGGAGGCAGCAGUAGGGAAUCUUCGGCAAUGGACGAAAGUCUGACAGAGCAACGCCGCGUGAGUGAAGAAGGUUUUCGGAUCGUAAAACUCUGUUGUUAGAGAAGCGGUAUCUAACCAGAAAGCCACGGCUAACUACGUGCCAGCCGCCGCGGUAAUAC